rnacentral:rRNA from 1 species
AUUGAACGCUGGCGGAAUGCUUUACACAUGCAAGUCGAACGGCAGCACGGACUUCGGUCUGGUGGCGAGUGGCGAGCGGGUGAGUAAUGUAUCGGAACGUGCCCAGUCGUGGGGGAUAACGUAGUGAAAAUUACGCUAAUACCGCAUACGAUCUAUGGAUGAAAGUGGGGGAUCGCAAGAACUCGCGCGAUUGGAUCGGCCGAUAUCAGAUUAGGUAGUUGGUGGGGUAAAGGCCCACCAAGCCAACGAUCUGUAGCUGGUCUGAGAGGACGACCAGCCACACUGGAACUGAGACACGGUCCAGACUCCUACGGGAGGCAGCAGUGGGGAAUUUUGGACAAUGGGCGAAAGCCUGAUCCAGCCAUUCCGCGUGCAGGAUGAAGGCCCUCGGGUUGUAAACUGCUUUUGUACAGAACGAAAAGGUUUCUACUAAUACUAGGAGCUCAUGACGGUACUGUAAGAAUAAGCACCGGCUAACUACGUGCCAGCAGCCGCAGUAA